AUUGAACGCUGGCGGCAGGCCUAACACAUGCAAGUCGAGCGAGCGGCGGACGGGUGAGUAAUGUCUGGGAAACUGCCUGAUGGAGGGGGAUAACUACUGGAAACGGUAGCUAAUACCGCAUACCAUCAGAUGUGCCCAGAUGGGAUUAGCUAGUAGGUGGGGUAACGGCUCACCUAGGCGAAGAUCCCUAGCUGGUCUGAGAGGAUGACCAGCCACCAUUGAACGGCAACAAGGGCCCAGAUCCUUAGGGAGGCAGCAGUGGGGAAUAUUGCACAAGGGGCGCAAGCCUGAUGCAGCCAUGCCGCGUGUGUGAAGAGGGCCUUCGGGUUGUAAAGCACUUUCAGCGGGGAGGCGUUACCCGCAGAAGAAGCACCGGCUAACUCCGUGCCAGCAGCCGCGGUAAUAC
rnacentral:rRNA from 1 species